rnacentral:other from 1 species
CGUGCUCGACCCUGUACGAGCUCCGCGUUCUCAAAGUAGAACCAACACCUAGUGAAAGGGAGCCUGCGUCCGCGCUACGCGCCCCAGGGUGACGUAGCGGGCAAGGCACCCACCUGGCAGUGCCAGGUUCGCUACGGGCGUGGGGUAACGGCAGGGUGGGGCACUU